AGAUGAUUUACACAGUGUGGCACAUCACAAAUCAAAAAUCCAGAGUUGUGAAGAAUUACACCCACAAACUGUAUUUUACAACAGAAUUCCUAAGACUGGAAGCACAACAACUAUUCAGUAUGUAGCUCGUUAUCGGAGAAACCUUCGAUUAGUGGUGAAAUCAGGACUCAUGGAAGAUAAAAAAAAUGAAAAUGUAAAUUAUUCGACUAUCCAAGAAUUUAAGUCUCUGAUAAUAAAAACAAAGAAAAGAAACAGAAAACUGUUUUUAUUUGGUCAUGUGUUUUUUCGUCCUGACGUUGAUGCAACAUACAUUAAUAUGCUAAGAGAACCUGUUUCUCGUUUUGCGUCGUACUUUUACUUCACAAAAACUCCUAUUUUCAGAAAAAACUGUUCGAAAAAUAGGCUGUAUUAUCCAAACGCAACCAUGAAAGAAUGUUUGGAAAACCAGUAUCUUGGUUGUGAAUGGAAUGAAAUGACGCGCUUUUUGUAAUCCUUACGCUUUUUGUAAAGAUGGGAGCCCAAAAGCACUGGCUCAAGCAAAAUGGAAUAUGGUGUUUCGAUAUAUGAGCAUUGGAAUUACUGACCAUUUAAAAGAAUUUCUUACUGUUUUAAGCAAACGUUUGCCAGAUUUUGUUUGGCCUCUUCCCAAAAAGGGGUUUAUCAACUAUUUUGUUGCAAAAACAAAACAACGGAAAUCACUUUCAAAUAGGAUUUUACAGCGAAUAAAGGAAGUCAAUGAAGACGAUAUUGAGCUUUUCAAAUUUGCGAAGGAAUUAUUCUUCAGACAAGCAGCAAGUUGCGGUGUUGAAAUACAAAGCAAGGAUAACACCACGAACUUGUAAUUUGAUAGUUAACAUUAUUUUUCUUUAUCUAUGGGAUGAACUAUUUUCUCUUUUUAAUUUGUAUUGUCAGAUAGCAGUAUUUAUUCUUUUUAAAGUUUGUCAGGACUGUUAAGAUUUAAGAAUCCUGCUACCUCUGGUGGGACAUGCAUUUACUAGAAAAAAUAUCAGGAAAAAUGUUGCGUAGACUUAGUGUUAUCUGUCUGACAAAAUUACAACAGUUCACUUCUA